UUCGAAUUCUACUUUUUUUUU
rnacentral:piRNA from 1 species